GUAGGUGGCAAGCGUUGUCCGGAAUUAUUGGGCGUAAAGCGCGCGCAGGCGGUUCUUUAAGUCUGAUGUGAAAGCCCACGGCUCAACCGUGGAGGGUCAUUGGAAACUGGAGAACUUGAGUAUAGAAGAGGAAAGCGGAAUUCCACGUGUAGCGGUGAAAUGCGUAGAGAUGUGGAGGAACACCAGUGGCGAAGGCGGCUUUCUGGUCUGUAACUGACGCUGAGGCGCGAAAGCGUGGGGAGCAAACAGGGAUUAGAUACCCUGGUAGUCCACGCUGUAAACGAUGAGUGCUAAGUGUUAGGGGGUUUUCCGCCCCCCUUAGUGCUGCAGCUAACGCAUUAAGCACUCCGCCUGGGAGUACGGCCGCAAGGCUG
rnacentral:rRNA from 1 species